CGGGAUUUGAGAUUCGCAACCUUCAAAUGCAUCUAAAAAACGUCUAAAUACAAACGUUUCCUCUACUUGCUUCCUUUUCUCUUCUAUACAACAAUAUUCAGAAAAUCUAAGGUGGUUUAACUACGCUUCUUAAAGUCUAGUUUAUGUGUGAUAUACAUCAAAUGAAGGAAAUAUGGAUUGAGGCUUUCAUAUUUCCAUUUAAGAUGAGGUUAUAAAAUUACGAGAGAAUAAUGGCUGAGGGUUUUACAAGCUCUCGCAGCAAGCGUCAACCAAAGAAGAGAGCACUAGAUGAUAGAAGUUCUUCAUUAGACAAGCGUUACAGAAGAUGUGAAAACAGUGGUUGUCCUUCUGAAAGACCAGUGUGUUGCKCAGAACUGAGCA